CCUGGCCUCUGAAGACUUCUUAUCUGUCCUUUUGAUAAGAUUAAGGCAGGGCCCAGUUGAUCUGCAGAGCUGGAUGUGCCCUGAGGCCAAAACCUGAGAAGGGAGGGGGGCCAAGAGUAUUCUGGCUGCUACUAGGCUGCUUUCUCUGAGCUUCUCCUCCAGCUGCCUCCCUGACGCCUGUGUUGAAUGUCCUGAGCCUGGCACCGCUGUGACUGCAAGGAACCUAGAUCUGAGUCGUAUUCACUUGUGUCCACAAGGAAUACUCUGGAUGGAGGAGUAAGUCAAAGAAGCUUCCAAAAUGGAAUCUGGAAUAAUAAAGUGGAAGAAUUCCAUGGAGACUGGAACAACCUCCAGGAAGUGAUGCAGAGCGAAAGGAGCAGAACCAGGAGGGCAUCAUACAGAGACUGAUACACUGUGGUACAAUUGAAUGUAAUAGACUCCUUUACUAGCAGCAAU
rnacentral:lncRNA from 1 species